GGAUGCGAUCAUACCAGCACUAAAGCACCGGAUCCCAUCAGAACUUCGUAGUUAAGCAUGCUUGGGCGAGAGUAGUACUAGGAUGGGUGACCUCCUGGGAAGUCCUCGUGUUGCAUUCC
rnacentral:rRNA from 1 species